rnacentral:rRNA from 1 species
AGCCUGCUACCUGACCUAGCGGCGGACGGGUGAGUAAUGCUUAGGAAUCUGCCUAUUAGUGGGGGACAACAUUCCGAGAGGAAUGCUAAUACCGCAUACGCCCUACGGGGGAAAGCAGGGGAUCUUCGGACCUUGCGCUAAUAGAUGAGCCUAAGUCAGAUUAGCUAGUUGGUGGGGUAAAGGCCUACCAAGGCGACGAUCUGUAGCGGGUCUGAGAGGAUGAUCCGCCACACUGGGACUGAGACACGGCCCAGACUCCUACGGGAGGCAGCAGUGGGGAAUAUUGGACAAUGGGCGAAAGCCUGAUCCAGCCAUGCCGCGUGUGUGAAGAAGGCCUUUUGGUUGUAAAGCACUUUAAGCGAGGAGGAGGCUACUUGGAUUAAUACUCUAGGAUAGUGGACGUUACUCGCAGAAUAAGCACCGGCUAACUCUGUGCCAGCAGCCGCGGUAAUACAGAGGGUGCGAGCGUUAAUCGGAUUUACUGGGCGUAAAGCGUGCGUAGGCGGCUUCUUAAGUCGGAUGUGAAAUCCCUGAGCUUAACUUAGGAAUUGCAUUCGAUACUGGGAAGCUAGAGUAUGGGAGAGGAUGGUAGAAUUCCAGGUGUAGCGGUGAAAUGCGUAGAGAUCUGGAGGAAUACCGAUGGCGAAGGCAGCCAUCUGGCCUAAUACUGACGCUGAGGUACGAAAGCAUGGGGAGCAAACAGGAUUAGAUACCCUGGUAGUCCAUGCCGUAAACGAUGUCUACUAGCCGUUGGGGCCUUUGAGGCUUUAGUGGCGCAGCUAACGCGAUAAGUAGACCGCCUGGGGAGUACGGUCGCAAGACUAAAACUCAAAUGAAUUGACGGGGGCCCGCACAAGCGGUGGAGCAUGUGGUUUAAUUCGAUGCAACGCGAAGAACCUUACCUGGUCUUGACAUAGUAAGAACUUUCCAGAGAUGGAUUGGUGCCUUCGGGAACUUACAUACAGGUGCUGCAUGGCUGUCGUCAGCUCGUGUCGUGAGAUGUUGGGUUAAGUCCCGCAACGAGCGCAACCCUUUUCCUUAUUUGCCAGCGGGUUAAGCCGGGAACUUUAAGGAUACUGCCAGUGACAAACUGGAGGAAGGCGGGGACGACGUCAAGUCAUCAUGGCCCUUACGACCAGGGCUACACACGUGCUACAAUGGUCGGUACAAAGGGUUGCUACCUAGCGAUAGGAUGCUAAUCUCAAAAAGCCGAUCGUAGUCCGGAUUGGAGUCUGCAACUCGACUCCAUGAAGUCG